rnacentral:rRNA from 1 species
UACGGAGGGUGCAAGCGUUAUCCGGAUUCAUUGGGCGUAAAGGGUGCGUAGGUGGCGCCGUAAGUCAGGUGUGAAAUUUCGGAGCUUAACUCCGAAACUGCAUUUGAUACUGCGGUGCUUGAGGACUGGAGAGGAGACUGGAAUUUACGGUGUAGCAGUGAAAUGCGUAGAGAUCGUAAGGAAGACCAGUGGCGAAGGCGGGUCUCUGGACAGUUCCUGACACUGAGGCACGAAGGCCAGGGGAGCAAACGGG